AUUGAACGCUGGCGGCAGGCCUAACACAUGCAAGUCGAGCGGAUGAAGAGAGCUUGCUCUCUGAUUUAGCGGCGGACGGGUGAGUAAUGCCUAGGAAUCUGCCUGGUAGUGGGGGAUAACGUUCCGAAAGGAACGCUAAUACCGCGUACGUCCUACGGGAGAAAGCAGGGGACCUUCGGGCCUUGCGCUAUCAGAUGAGCCUAGGUCGGAUUAGCUAGUUGGUGAGGUAAUGGCUCACCAAGGCGACGAUCCGUAGCUGGUCUGAGAGGAUGAUCAGUCACACUGGAACUGAGACACGGUCCAGACUCCUACGGGAGGCAGCAGUGGGGAAUAUUGGACAAUGGGCGAAAGCCUGAUCCAGCCAUGCCGCGUGUGUGAAGAAGGUCUUCGGAUUGUAAAGCACUUUAAGUUGGGAGGAAGGGCAGUAAGUUGAUACCUUGCUGUUUUGACGUUACCGACAGAAUAAGCACCGGCUAACUUCGUGCCAGCCGCCGCGGUAAAAC
rnacentral:rRNA from 1 species